CAGUAUAUUUUAGGUUGAAUGGUAAGCAAUCGACCAAAACUUUGAAAAGCAGUCUUCAAAGUGGAUUACAGAGUUAAAUGUAUAUUGGAAAUGACAAAUAAGGAUUUGCUUAUUUUUAGGGUGGAUUAGUUCUGGGCUUUUUGUGUAUAUGAAGGGGAGAGAGUAGUGUCCCCGAUGAAAAGAAGCUUUUUCAUGCUUGACAUUAUUGAGAGCUUCAGUAGAAGAUUUUUUUUAAACCAAACAUCAAUGCAUUUGUAUUUUUAUUAAAAUAUCAAGUGAA